rnacentral:rRNA from 1 species
GUCUACGGCCACACCACCCUGAGUGUGCCCGAUCUUCUCUGAUCUUAGGAACUAAGCAGGGUUCCCUUGCUAGUACUUGAAUGGGAGACUGCCUAGUACAGUGGUUA